GGAUGAACGCUGGCGGCGUGCCUAAUCCAUGCAAGUCGAGCGAACAGAUAAGGAGCUUGCUCCUUUGACGUUAGCGGCGGACGGGUGAGUAACACGUGGGUAACCUACCUAUAAGACUGGAAUAACUCCGGGAAACCGGGGCUAAUGCCGGAUAACAUUUAGAACCGCAUGGUUCUAAAGUGAAAGAUGGUUUUACUAUCACUUAUAGAUGGACCCGCGCCGUAUUAGCUAGUUGGUAAGGUAACGGCUUACCAAGGCAACGAUACGUAGCCGACCUGAGAGGGUGAUCGGCCACACUGGAACUGAGACACGGUCCAGACUCCUACGGGAGGCAGCAGUAGGGAAUCUUCCGCAAUGGGCGAAAGCCUGACGGAGCAACGCCGCGUGAGUGAUGAAGGUCUUCGGAUCGUAAAACUCUGUUAUUAGGGAAGAACAAAUGUGUAAGUAACUGUGCACGUCUUGACGGUACCUAAUCAGAAAGCCACGGCUAACUACGUG
rnacentral:rRNA from 1 species